UGUAACAUCCCAGCCCAAGCCUUAAUAGGAUUUGAUAGAUACUCAUACCAACAAGUUGCAACUUCUUUUCCGGAAGCUUAUCUCGAGAGAACUUCAAGGUUAAGUGUGCUUGGCCUGGAGUAAUCUUGGGAUGGGUGACCGACCGGGAAGUCAUUUCUCGGGUGCGCAUGAGUGAGGACAAAGUGCGCAGAAAAGACAUGUGUGUUGGUUGUGUGAGGGAAAGGGAAGUCUUGAUAUCCUAGAGCACAGGCCUGACCUAGGGGGGUUCCUAGGGUUGGGGCGUGAUAAUGAAAGUCAAUACUAAUAACUAGUGAAGCUAGCCUAGUGUUAAAUGCUUUGUAAAUUCAAUUUAUUAAACAUGGAGGCAACAAAUUUUGA
rnacentral:lncRNA from 1 species